UGGGGAAUAUUGCACAAUGGGCGCAAGCCUGAUGCAGCCAUGCCGCGUGUAUGAAGAAGGCCUUCGGGUUGUAAAGUACUUUCAGCGGGGAGGAAGGCGAUAAGGUUAAUAACCUUGUCGAUUGACGUUACCCGCAGAAGAAGCACCGGCUAACUCCGUGCCAGCAGCCGCGGUAAUACGGAGGGUGCAAGCGUUAAUCGGAAUUACUGGGCGUAAAGCGCACGCAGGCGGUCUGUCAAGUCGGAUGUGAAAUCCCCGGGCUCAACCUGGGAACUGCAUUCGAAACUGGCAGGCUAGAGUCUUGUAGAGGGGGGUAGAAUUCCAUGUGUAGCGGUGAAAUGCGUAGAGAUCUGGAGGAAUACCGGUGGCGAAGGCGGCCCCCUGGACAAAGACUGACGCUCAGGUGCGAAAGCGUGGGGAGCAAACA
rnacentral:rRNA from 1 species